CUGGUCGAAAGGGAAACAGCCCAGAUCUCAAGUUAAGGUCCCUAAAUUUACAUUAAGUGCGCUUAAGGAUGUGAGAUUUCUCUGACAAUGAGGAUGUUGGCUUAGAAGCAGCCACCAUUUAAAGAAAGCGUAACAGCUCACUCAUUCAGAGGUUUUGCGCCGCAGAUUAUCGGGGCUAAAUGUAAUACCGAAACUGAGGGCUUCUUAUUCAUUCGUGAGUAAGGAGCGGUAGGAGAGCAUUCCAUUCUGCAAUGAAGGUUAGACGUAAGUCUAACUGAAGCGUAUGGAAGAGAGAAUGUUGGCACAAGUAACCGCAAUCCCGUUGAGAAUACGGGACGCCGAAAAACCAAGGUUUCCUUGGCGAUGUUAAUCAGCCAAGGGUUAGUCGGGCCUAAGCGGAUGGCGAAAGCCGGACGCGAUGGACACAUGGUUAAUAUUCCAUGACUUUCUUUUUAUGCGAUGGGGGGACGGAGUGUAGUAUGUCGAGCGUAUUAUUUGGAUUUACGUUUGUGGUGUGAGGAUGCUCUUUUGGAAAAUCCGGAGAGUAAAUUUUAGCACAGUAAAAAUUUUGCGGCCUCGGCCAAUGAAAAUUUGACAAAGCACACUUCCAAGAAAAGCCUCUAAGCUUCAGUAAAAAGAAAACCGUACCGCAAACCGACACAGGUGGUUAGGUCGAGAAGACCUAGGCGAACGAGUGAGUGUUCCUCAAGGAACUCGGCAAACAAGCGACCGUAACUUCGGAAUAAGGUCUGCCCCUGCUUUUUGCAGGGGCCGCAGCGAAAGUUUUCCGGGCAACUGUUUAUCAAAAACACAGCUCCCUGCGAACUCGCAAGAGGAUGUAUAGGGGGUGACGCCUGACCAAUGCCAGAAGGUUAAACAUAGAGGGUCUGCGAGACUUCGGUUUUGUAGGCUGAGCUAUGUAAGCCCUGGUGAAUGUCGGCCGUAACUAUAACGGUCCUAAGGUAGCGAAUUUCCUUGUCUGGUAAGUUCAGACGUGCACGAAUGGCGUAAUGACCUGGAAACUGUCUCGAGGAACAGCUCGGUGAAAAUGCAAUACCGGUGAAGACGCCGGUUACCUGCAGCUAGACGGAAAGACCCCGGGAGCUUUACUGUAGCUUCGUAUUGGGUUUGCGAUUUAAUUGCGUAGCAUAGGUGGGAGACUUUGAUAUUUGCCUUUUGGGGCAAGUGGAGUCGUCAGUGAAAUACCACUCUGUUGAAUUUCAGAUUCUAACCACGACGGAAAAAACGGCGUGGAACAGUGCGUGGCAGACAGUUUUAGUGGGGCGCUAUCCUCCUAAAGAGUAACGGAGGAGUUUAUUAAGGUCAGCUAGGCGCGAAUGGAAACCGUGCCGAUAGUGUAAUGGCAUAAGCUGGCUUAACUGCGAGACGUACAUGUCAAGCAGAUGCGAAAGCAGAACAUAGUGAACCGAUGGCCCGCAUUAGAUGUGGCCAGAGAUUAACGGAUAAAAGCUACCCCGGGGAUAACAGGCUGGUUCCGCCUAAGAGUUCAUAUCGACGGCGGAGUUCGGCACCUCGAUGUCGGCUCAACUUAUCCUGGUGCUGGAGAAGGUGCCAAGGGUUUGGCUGUUCGCCAAUUAAAAAGUUACGCGAGCUGGGUUCAGACCGUCGUGAGACAGGUUGGUCCCCUAUCUGCUGCAGGCGUUGAUUCUUGAGAAGAGCUCUCCCUAGUACGAGAGGACUGGGAGGGACUGAUCUCUGGUGUGCCAGCUGUUCCGCCAGGAGCAUUGCUGGGUAGCUAUAUCGGGACUGGAUAACCGCUGAAAGCAUCUAAGCGGGAAGCCAACUUCAAGAUUAGGAAUCGUAGAUCCCUAGGAGAUGACUAGGUUGAUAGGCCUUAGGUGUAAGUACAGUAAUGUAUUUAGCCGAGAGGUACUAAUUCAUCGUCUCUUAUUA
rnacentral:rRNA from 1 species